rnacentral:rRNA from 1 species
GACGAACGCUGGCGGCGUGCUUAACACAUGCAAGUCGAACGGAAAGGCCUCUUUCGGGGGGUACUCGAGUGGCGAACGGGUGAGUAACACGUGAGUAACCUGCCCUUGACUUUGGGAUAACUUCAGGAAACUGGGGCUAAUACCGGAUAGGAGCUCCUGCUGCAUGGUGGGGGUUGGAAAGUUUCGGCGGUUGGGGAUGGACUCGCGGCUUAUCAGCUUGCUGGUGGGGUAGUGGCUUACCAAGGCUUUGACGGGUAGCCGGCCUGAGAGGGUGACCGGCCACAUUGGGACUGAGAUACGGCCCAGACUCCGACGGGAGGCAGCAGUGGGGAAUAUUGCACAAUGGGUGGAAGCCUGAUGCAGCAACGCCGUGUGCGGGAUGACGGCCUUCGGGUUGGAAACCGCUUUCGCUCAUGACGAAGCUUUGUGUGACGGUAGUGGGUAAAGAAGCACCGGCUAACUACGUG